rnacentral:rRNA from 1 species
GAUGAACGCUGGCGGCGUGCCUAAUACAUGCAAGUCGAGCGAACGGACGAGAAGCUUGCUUCUCUGAUGUUAGCGGCGGGCGGGUGAGUAACACGUGGAUAACCUACCUAUAAGACUGGGAUAACUUCGGGAAACCGGAGCUAAUACCGGAUAAUAUUUUGAACCGCAUGGUUCAAAAGUGAAAGACGGUCUUGCUGUCACUUAUAGAUGGAUCCGCGCUGCAUUAGCUAGUUGGUAAGGUAACGGCUUACCAAGGCAACGAUGCAUAGCCGACCUGAGAGGGUGAUCGGCCACACUGGAACUGAGACACGGUCCAGACUCCUACGGGAGGCAGCAGUAGGGAAUCUUCCGCAAUGGACGAAAGCCUGACGGAGCAACGCCGCGUGAGUGAUGAAGGUCUUCGGAUCGUAAAACUCUGUUAUUAGGGAAGAACAUAUGUGUAAGUAACUGUGCACAUCUUGACGGUACCUAAUCAGAAAGCCACGGCUAACUACGUG